GGGCCUGUGGUCUAACGGUAGAACACUGCAUUCGCAUUGCAGAAAUCCGGGUUCGAUUCCCGGCAGGUCCA
rnacentral:tRNA from 1 species